GAGCUCUACUUAAUUUGAGGGAGCCCCGACCACACUCACCUGAUCGGUCGACCACAUAAUCGCCCAUUCGGUCCAUGACCGAAUCCACCAGCCCACUACACAUCCCAAAUCCCCCAACCCUAACUAAUCCGCCGUCACCCCUCCCGGAUCGCCAGCAGGCCUCAUCCCUUCCACAGUUCCACGGCUACGCCGCCGUCGUCGGCUCAUCCCUCCUCCCCCUCCCGCCCGCAGUUCCAGGUGGUGCACCCCUCGACCCCAUCAGACUCGAUCUGUCGUUUCCUGGCUCCCUUAGGUCCCCUCUUCGCCACCACUCCGCCGCAUGCUCCCCAAAUCCGCCGCUCUAUGGGUGCAUCAGGUCUCGCUGCCAGUUCCAAUGGAGGGAAUAAAUGGGCAAAGGCGGCCAACGAGGAAGCUACGAUGACGGUGGUGGCUGUGGAGUCAGAUGAGCCUAGGACAGAAUCGCCGUUGGAGCGGGGAACAAUCAUCUACAACCUCCUCGUCACGCUCCCCUUUCCCUCCGGCCUGAUCUCGCGCCUCCGCCGUGCAUUCCUCCUCUGCCGCUUCACCACCGACCUGGUCUCUAGAUCCUCCCUCCACAUGCUCCAACUCCUGGUACAAGAGUGCCUGAGGUCCGCUAUCGACCUGAGCUCCGCUCAGGUCGCCGCUACCACUGAUAAUCGGCCUCCAGCCCACUGCUUUACUUUUGGCGACGAGUCGACGACUGGGCAACUACCGCUGCCCAAGGUCAGGUGCUCGAGUAUCCGUCGACCCCUUCGCUAGGCCAUUCCCGUUGACAGCAAGCAUCAGUUCAAUAAUUCCAAUAAGGAUCUCAAGACCUACAGCUGGGGAAUGUUAUUUGACAAUGGUUUCAAGUUGACCAAACAGAGUGGAUACAGUCAUGCUCAAAGUUGGCAAGCUGUGUCAACAAGCAGGCCCCAUCUGCUACUCGCUUCAUGGGCAUGCAACAAAGCCUUGGUAUUCAGCCGACGCAGCUUGGGAAGGAUGCACCUGCAGCAGGAGUUGCACGUAGAGUUAGUGCUUAAUGAAAGAUGAUCGAGGUUGAGUCUGUUGCAGCUGCUGAUUAACAAGAGAUUCGAGAAGUAGUGAAGAAGUGAUUCUGUGCUGAGGAUGAUUAUGCAGCAGAAAAACUUGAUAUUGAGCUGAGUGGAAGUUACCUGUUACCACCACGUUAUUCUAAGGGUGCAUUGGCACUGCAUUGGCGUACUGGUCAUAAAAAUGAUUGACUCCAGAUAAUAAGUUCUGCUGCUUCAAAUUCAGUUCUGCCAGCUGUAGGAAUAGGAAUCAUAAAAGCAUAUGGAGGAACUACGUAUAGGCUACAAAGAAGCAUAAGAAGCAUGUUUAUAGCAGAAGCAAAGUGUUCUGAUGAUUUUGUUUUUUCAAUUGUGUUUUCUGUUAUUGGUUCAGUAUGCACAUAUAUUGACAUGAUUUAUGGCAUGACAUCUGCCAUCUUUGUUAUAUUUAUGACAUCGUUCUUGAUUGAUGUGUGCAGACAUGAAUGAUGGAUCUUUUUUAACAUCCUGACCAUCAUUAUCGUAUUUUGUAUAUCAUUUAUGGGUUCACAGAUAUGAAAUGACAGGUUUCUUAUUUUUGAGAUC